GAUACUUUAGCGGCGGACGGGUGAGUUAACACGUAGGCAACCUGCCCUCAAGUUUGGGACAACUACCGGAAACGGUAGCUAAUACCGAAUAAUUCGUUUUCUUCGCCUGAAGGAAACUGGAAAGACGGAGCAAUCUGUCACUUGGGGAUGGGCCUGCGGCGCAUUAGCUAGUUGGUGAGGUAACGGCUCACCAAGGCGACGAUGCGUAGCCGACCUGAGAGGGUGAUCGGCCACACUGGGACUGAGACACGGCCCAGAYUCCUACGGGAGGCAGCAGUAGGGAAUCUUCCGCAAUGGGCGAAAGCCUGACGGAGCAAUGCCGCGUGAGUGAUGAAGGUUUUCGGAUCGUAAAGCUCUGUUGCCAGGGAAGAACGCUUGGGAGAGUAACUGCUCUCAAGGUGACGGUACCUGAGAAGAAAGCCCCGGCUAACUACGUGCCAGCAGCCGCGGUAAUACGUAGGGGGCAAGCGUUGUCCGGAAUUAUUGGGCGUAAAGCGCGCGCAGGCGGUCAUUUAAGUCUGGUGUUUAAUCCCGGGGCUCAACCCCGGAUCGCACUGGAAACUGGGUGACUUGAGUGCAGAAGAGGAGAGUGGAAUUCCACGUGUAGCGGUGAAAUGCGUAGAUAUGUGGAGGAACACCAGUGGCGAAGGCGACUCUCUGGGCUGUAACUGACGCUGAGGCGCGAAAGCGUGGGGAGCAAACAGGAUUAGAUACCCUGGUAGUCCACGCCGUAAACGAUGAGUGCUAGGUGUUAGGGGUUUCGAUACCCUUGGUGCCGAAGUUAACACAUUAAGCACUCCGCCUGGGGAGUACGGUCGCAAGACUGAAACUCAAAGGAAUUGACGGGGACCCGCACAAGCAGUGGAGUAUGUGGUUUAAUUCGAAGCAACGCGAAGAACCUUACCAGGUCUUGACAUCCCUCUGACCGGUACAGAGAUGUACCUUUCCUUCGGGACAGAGGAGACAGGUGGUGCAUGGUUGUCGUCAGCUCGUGUCGUGAGAUGUUGGGUUAAGUCCCGCAACGAGCGCAACCCUUAUAUUUAGUUGCCAGCACUUCGGGUGGGCACUCUAGAUAGACUGCCGGUGACAAACCGGARGNAAGGUGGGGAUGACGUCAAAUCAUCAUGCCCCUUAUGACCUGGGCUACACACGUACUACAAAUGGCCGGUACAACGGGCUGCGAAAUCGCGAGAUGGAGCCAAAUCCCAAACAAAAGCCGGUCUCAAGUUCGGAUUGCAGGCUGCAACUCGCCUGCAUGGAAAGUCGGAAAUUGCUAGUAAUCGCGGAUCAG
rnacentral:rRNA from 1 species